UACGAAGGGGGCUAGCGUUGCUCGGAAUCACUGGGCGUAAAGGGUGCGUAGGCGGGUUUUUAAGUCAGGGGUGAAAUCCUGGAGCUCAACUCCAGAACUGCCUUUGAUACUGAGAAGCUUGAGUCCGGGAGAGGUGAGUGGAACUGCGAGUGUAGAGGUGAAAUUCGUAGAUAUUCGCAAGAACACCAGUGGCGAAGGCGGCUCACUGGCCCGGUACUGACGCUGAGGCACGAAAGCGUGGGGAGCAAACAGG
rnacentral:rRNA from 1 species